rnacentral:rRNA from 1 species
GCUGAGCACUCUAGACGACUGCCGUUGACAAAACGGAGGAAGGUGGGGAUGACGUCAAAUCAUCAUGCCCCUUAUGUUCUGGGCUACACACGUGCUACAAUGGCCGGUACAGACGGACGCAAAGCCGCGAGGCGGAGCAAAUCCGAAAAAGCCGGUCUCAGUUCGGAUUGCAGGCUGCAAUUCGCCUGCAUGAAGUCGGAAUCGCUAGUAAUCGCAGGUCAGCAUACUGCGGUGAAUACGUUCCCGGGCCUU